rfam:Loxodonta africana unplaced genomic scaffold scaffold_36, whole genome shotgun sequence.
UUUCAGGUUUUUUUCAAAACCACCACGCAGUUUUCCACAAUGACUGU